rnacentral:misc_RNA from 1 species
AUUGCAUUAGGGUGUCUACAAAGAAUUGAGUUUAUUUAAAGGCUAAAUAAAUUAUCAAUGUAACUGUUUGAAAGAGCUCAUCACUCAGUGGGGGAAAAAUCAAAUAGCUACUGCUAACUACAUAUUAGUAUACAAGAAUGAGCAUCUCUAAUCAUUCAUGUCCAAUCUUACCUUUGAUAAGGGACAUAUGGGCACUACGAACCUAAAUUCUAUGUUGGUAAAUUACAGGUGCAACAUAUGUACUUAAGUAGAAUACAAAUUUCAUCUCUGUAAUUGAUCAGGUGUGUGGUUGCUUGUUGUAGAUGAUGACGUAGUC